UCUACAUAUACAUUUUUACAGGGUUUUUUUGCAUAAAUUCUUUUGGAUCCGGGUUUUAUCCGGGAUUAACUAUAUCCGGAUCUUGGAUAAGGAUUUUAAGGAAUGUUGUCUUAAUUUCAAACUGAGAUAUAUCCUCUAAUUACUUCCAAAACAAUUCCAUAAUUACUCUAACAAAUGAUCGGCUGCGGAUACUUAGUAUUAAUUACUUUGAUUUAAAAAUUUAAAGAUAAUAUAUUGCGAAUAUUUAGAUUUGAAACUUUGGCAAAAAUCUCUCCAAAAAAUCUGCACGGUUUAUUUCUAAAAUAUCUACUCCGAGAUUUCUUCUAUCAACUACUUACUCCCAACAUUCCUUUUCUAAGAUUUCUUCUCUCCAUAUCUGUAAAAAAUCGAUUUUACGAAACAAAGUUAUUACUCUUCAAAUUGUAAAUGCUAGCAUAUUCCUAAAUCAUAACGAUUCCAAAGAUUUUAUCCCUAAUUAGUUGCAGUAUAUGCUAGGUAUGUGUGACCUAAUUAAUGAGUCUAUAAAUACUCUAAACCUUAGACGUCUCAUAACAUCAUCAUAAACACAAAAUUGACAAUUUGAAAAUUCCAUCUUACACACCUUCAUUCUCUUAAAAUUCCCGCAACCUUUGCAUUUCUCCGAGAUGCUCGAGGAUCCAGAAGAGUUUUUGUUUUUUUCAAUUUACUCAAACUGUGCUACUAACAGUUUUUUUGUUGCAAAUUUGAAUUAUUUGACUAUCUAUUCCAUUACACUUUCAUAUAACCAGAAUAUUAUGUUCUUUUUUGAAGCAAACAUGAGAAGGUAUGUUUACUAAAUUAUUCAUAUAACAAAUACUAAGUUAUUUUUAAGCAAACAUAUUCGCCAAGCAAAUGAGACAAAGAAAAACAGAGUAGAGUUUAUAUCUAACUUACAGUCAAUAACCGUUUUUUGUUUUCUACUUUACUCAAACUGUACUAUUCUCAGGUUUUUGCAGUUAUACUUUUUCAAUUUAUCUAAUAAAUUUUACUUUCAUUUAAGCAUGAAUUAUUUUAUCUACACACCAUUAGUAUAAACUGAUGGAGUAAAAGUUUAUUUAGUAACUUACCUGCUGCAUGUAAUAUAAUUUGUUGAGACAAAGUUGUAGCUCCAUUAUGACCUUACUUGACUUUAGUUUUACCUGCAAAACUAAUGUUUUAGAUUCAAAUAAAACAGUAGGUUUAAACAUUGAUAUGUAUAAAUAACCAGACGUUUACUCUUUACAUGCUUUAUUUGUUUGAUUAUGUUAGUUAUUUAUGGAAUUAGCUAGCUGAUAUAAACUAAACACAUAGUGACGAUUUUGAGUUAUUUGACACUUUGACAAGUAUAAUUUGAUAUGAAACCAUAUUUGUUUCUUUUGUUACUACUAAUAAUUCAUAUCAAUUUGAUGACGUCUUACUGCAACUUCUAGAGUUGUUUCAUAUAAUUUAAUCUCACCUGCAAAGGAAUACAUUCUUCAUUUACUCCCACGAUGUAACCUAAUUGAUGCAAUACAUAUCUAUUUCCAUUUCUCACUGUUUUCACUAUCAAUUUUCGGACUAUAAUGUUUUUUAUUCGAUUAUUACAGUAGCAGGAACUAUGAAAAUCUCUUACCUUUGAAUCGAGACAAAAAAUUUCAAUGGGAUCUGAUUUGUUGUUCUCGGGUUUCCAUGGGUUGAUUGGAUCUUCGGUUUACCAUAGAUUUUCUUCGAUUGAAUAUUUGCUUAUCAUUUUGGCAUCGACUCUUCGAAUCAAAACCACAUCCCGUCGUUGGAUUAUACAUCGGAGCUCUUCGAAGUUAGGUUCCGAUCUUGACUUAUCGAACAUGGUCUUUUUCAUUACGGAUCCGUAAUCGACAAAGAAAUUUGAAGAUUGUUGAUGAGAAUCGUAAGAGAUCCUUUUUUACAUCAAUCGUAAGAGAAGAAGAAGAUGAAAUGGGAUUUUUGUUUUGAGAAGGAAAGUUAAUUGGUUUCUUUUUCUCAGGUCUUUUUUUUU
rnacentral:lncRNA from 1 species